rnacentral:rRNA from 1 species
AGGUAUGUGGUUUAAUUCGACGCUACGCGAAGAACCUUACCUGGGCUUGACAUGCUUGAGAACGGACCAAGAAACUGGUCCCUCCAUGACCGCAAGGUCAUGGCUCAUCCACAGGUGCUGCAUGGUUGUCGUCAGCUCGUGUCGUGAGAUGUAAGGUUAAGUCCUUGAACGAGCGCAACCCCUGUCGCUAGUUGCUAACCAGCAAUGGUGCACCCUAGCGAUACUGCCAGCUAAAAGUUGGAGGAAGGAGGGGAUGACGUCAAAUCCUCAUGGCCUUUAUGUCCAGGGCUACACACAUGCGACAAUGGUCGGUACAACGGGUCGCAACACCGCGAGGUGAAGCCAAUCCCUAAAAACCGACCUCAGUUCAGAUUGCAGGCUGCAAUUCGACUGCGUGAAGUCGGAAUCGCUAGUAAUCGUGGAUCAGCAUGUCACGGUGAAUACGUUCCCGGGUCUU